GUGCUCACUUCAGCAGCACAUAUACUAAAUUUGGAAAGAUACAGAGAAGAUUAUCAUGGCCCCUAAGAAGAAAAAAAAAUGAAAAAAAAAAAGAUUAG
rnacentral:snRNA from 1 species